rnacentral:rRNA from 1 species
UACGUAGGUGACCAGCGUUGUCCGGAUUUACUGGGCGUAAAGCGUGCGCAGGCGGCGCGUUAAGACAGGUGUGAAAGCCCCGAGCUUAACUUGGGAAUUGCGCUUGUGACUGGCGUGCUGGAGUGUGGCAGAGGGAGGUGGAAUUCCACGUGUAGCAGUGAAAUGCGUAGAUAUCGGGAGGAACACCGGUGGCGAAGGCGGCGACCUGGGUCGAGACUGACGCUGAGGCGCGAAAGCGUGGGGAGCAAACAGG